UCACAUGCAAUGAUGCCGUCGAACAAACUUCUAAUAUCGUCAAUUCCAUUAUUUUUUCUUGGUUUUGUUGUGACGGCUCCUACAACAACAAUAAGCAUUACCAGUAGUUAUUUCCCCAAGGAAGAACUCGUCAGCUCCAAUGAAACCAGCACCACAAACAUCACAACUGUCCAAAGUACCACCGACAAAAUGGACAUCACUGACAACUUCAGCAUUUCUACACUCAAAACACAAAACAGCAGCUUUUUAGAUUCUUUUACCACUGAUCUGAGUCGUAACAGUACUAAAGUUUCCAUCUCAAACAAGUUUCC